UGACAUGCAUGCUCAGAAUACAGGGUGCCA
rnacentral:piRNA from 1 species